AAACUCCUGUAAGAGACAUCUUCUGUGAGAAAAGUACUUCCUGGUGGCCCACAGAUACUGUCCAGGCUACAGACUCUUCCCUCUUCCAUUUCCAACACGUAGCACGUACAAAGACCAGAAGUCAUCCUCCAGCAAGGACUGCUUUCUCCAAAGUCUUUAGGUAAGGACAUGGCCAAAGCUCAGUCACUCCAGUAACUCCCCAGAGAGUACCAAUAACAAAGCAUUCACUAGACACAGCCUGUAGCGUUGGCAGAACAAGCAGAAAGUCAUCGUUGGUGUCCCAAGAGAUGGAGGACUUCCCACAUAACCAAAGCCAGCUGACUUGUUAGAUCUGAAAGAGAAAUCCACAUUAUGAUACAAAAAUUUGGACCCUAACAUGAAGAUCUGAUGAUACACUACACAAUACAGAAAGGAAUCUGUCUUUACAGAGCUACACUCUGAGGAAGGAGACAUGAAAUUCCAUGAACUGCUAGCUCUUCAUUCAAGCCUGGAAUGCCAUUGUCCAUUACCUGAAAACUUGUCUCAAGAGACUUAACAAGAGAGCGAAGCUCUAAAAAUCCGUCUGCACAAAGCACCAGGCAGUGUGCAGCAGGAGACAACUCUGCUGCGCUUGGACUUGACACGCAACCUUUUCCCUCUUUGACUUCUGUUAUUUUAGGACAGUAAUCUGCUACACUCAGACCGCUGUCCUUGGCAGAGACUGAAGCACAGCUAACACAGUGAUGUCCUUGCUUAUAACUUGUAACACAGGGUAGGAAUGACAACUCAGAGCCUAGAUUAUGUGGAGCUCACUGCAAAAAAUAAUAUCCUUUUCUCUCAUUUUCUCCUCUCUGCCUCAAAGCAUUUGGCAUCAGCCUCAGCUUUUCUUGAUUGUGAGUACUGAAUGUGUCAGAGGUAAGAGAAAGCUCAGCCUGAUAGUGAUAUCUGAAAUGUUUUUCCUUUCCUCUGGAAAAAGGUUAAACUUUGGCAUAGAAACAGCACUGUGGAGCCCUUGCUUCAGUAAGAGCUUCUGUAAGUUUCUACAAGUAGCUGUUCUUUAGCAUGGCUGAUACCAGUCAGAAUGUAGUAUGAUUAGGAAAGUCAUGGGUUGCAUUGUGUGUGAAUAAAAUACAAGUGUACUUGCAAUGUGCUCACUUACA
ensembl:lncRNA